CCAAGCUAGUAAGGGCGUGUGGGGGAUGUCUUGGCACCAGAAGGCGAAAGGGCGUGGAAGACUGCGAAAAGUCCGGGGGAGCUGUCAAACGAGCUUUGAUCCCGGAGUACCCGAGCGAACCCAGGGAACUGAAACAUCUCAUUACCUGGAGGAGGAGAAAGAAACCUCGACUCCGUGAGUAGCGGCGAGCGAAAGCGGAAGAGCCUAAACCGGUGGGGUAACCCGCCGGGGUUGUAGGACCGCAUUUAGGACUCCGAGUCCCUAGCCGAACGGUCUGGAAUGGCCGACCACAGGGGGUGAAAGUCCCGUAGGCGACAGGAACGAGGACCGAGCGGCAUCCUGAGUACGACUCAACACGUGAAAGUGAGUCCGAAUCCGCGGGGCCCAUCCCGCAAGGCUAAGUACUCUCUGGUGACCGAUAGCGAACAAGUAGCGCGAGCGAAAGAUGGGAAGAACCCCGACAAGGGGAGGACACUGAACCUGAAACCACAUGCCUACAAGCGGUGGGAGGGCUAUGCCCGUAAGGGAACGCCUGACCGCGUGCCUUUUGCAUAAUGAUCCGGCGACUUACCGUAACCAGCGAGGUUAAGGGCCUGUGGCCCGUAGCCGAAGCGAAAGCGAGUCUCAAACGGGCGUCAAGUUGGGUGCGGUAGACGCGAAACCACGUGACCUACGCAUGGCCAGGAUGAAGUGGGAGUAACAUCCCAUGGAGGACCGAACUCAUUUGGGUUGAAAACCGAUGGGAUGAGCUGUGUGGGGGAGUGAAAGUCUAACCAAACGUGGAGAUAGCUCGUUCUCUCCGAAAUAACUUUAGGGUUAGCGUUCGAAUAGUUGGCAGUGGGGGUAGAGCGACUGAUUUCGAACGGGGGCCUACCCGGCUACCCGUCGAAGCCAAACUCCGAAUACCACUGUACCAAGUUCGGGCAGCUAGACGGUGGGGGAUAAGCUUCAUCGUCGAGAGGGGAACAACCCAGAUCACCCGCUAAGGUCCCGAAGCCGUGCUCAGUGCGAAAGGAAGUUGGGCUCCCGAGACAGCCAGGAUGUUGGCUUAGAAGCAGCCACCAUUUAAACAACGCGUAAUAGCGGACUGGUCGAGGAGCCCUGCGCCGAUAAUGAACGGGACUCAAGCACGGCACCGAAGCGGUGGGAGCAGCAGUGCUCGGUAGGAGAGCGUUGCGUGUGCGGCGAAGGGGUACGGGCGACGAGCCCUGGAGCGCACGCAAGUGACUAUGCCGGAAUGAGUAGACGAUAAAACGGGUGAGAAUCCCGUUCGCCGUAAGCCUAAGGUUUCCUGGGGAAGGUAAAUCCGCCCAGGGUUAGCCGGUGCCUAACGCGAGGCCGAGAGGCGUAGCGGAUGGGGAGCAGGUUAAUACUCCUGCGCUCCUGGCACAAGACGGGACGCCGGUUCAAGGUCGGGUAGGCUGAGUAGAUUGCCUCAGGGCGUUUAAGAUCCCGAUACCGACCGCGAGACGGCCAAGAAAACCGUGCCAGAAACCGUACUAAAACCGACACAGGUAGGCGAGAUGAGUAUUCUAAGGCGCUCGAGAGAACUCUCGUGAAGGAACUCUGCAAUUUAACUCCGUAACUUCGGGAAAAGGAGUGCCCGGUUUCGACCGGGCCGCAGUGAAAAGGUUCUGGCGACUGUUUACUAAAAACACAGGUCUGUGCGAAGGCGUAAGCCGCGGUAUACAGACUGACGCCUGCCCGGUGCUGGUAAGUUAAGGGAGAGGGUUAGCCGCAAGGUGAAGCUCGCAACCGAAGCUCCAGUAAACGGCGGCCGUAACUAUGACGGUCCUAAGGUAGCGAAGUUCCUUGUCGGGUAAGUUCCGACCUGCAUGAAUGGCGUAACGACCGGAACACUGUCUCCACGAGAGACUCGGUGAAAUUGUAGUUGUCGUGAAGAUGCGACAUACCCGCAGCUAGACGGAAAGACCCCGUGAACCUUAACUGCAGUUUGGUAUUGGGUUUAGACCCAACAUGCGUAGCGUAGGUGGGAGGCUAUGAACCGCGUAUUUCGGUACGCGGGGAGCCGGCGAUGAAACACCACCCUUGUUGUGUUUGAAUUCUAACCAGUUGUUUGUCGCAACUGGGACCGUGCUAAAUGGGCAGUUUGAUUGGGGCGAUCUCCUCCUAAAAGGUAACGGAGGAGUGCAAAGGUACCCUCAGCCCGGUUGGCAAUCGGGCAUCGAGCGUAAAGGUAUAAGGGUGCUUGACUGCGAGCCCGAUGGGGCGAGCAGGGACGAAAGUCGGCCUUAGUGAUCCGGUGGUCCCGGAUGGAAGGGCCAUCGCUCAACAGAUAAAAGGUACUCCGGGGAUAACAGGCUUAUCUCCUCUGAGCGUUCAUAGCGGCGAGGAGGUUUGGCACCUCGAUGUCGGCUCAUCACAUCCUGGGGGUGGAGAAGCUCCCAAGGGUUCGGCUGUUCGCCGAUGAAAGUGGUACGUGAGCUGGGUUUAGACCGUCGUGAGACAGGUCGGUCCCUAUCUGCUGUGGGCGGAGGAAAUUUGAGGGGCUUUCUCCCUAGUACGAGAGGACUGGGAGGGACACACCUCUGAUGUUCCAGUUGUGGCGCUAGCCGCAGCGCUGGGUAGUCACGUGUGGACGGGAUAAACGCUGAAGGCAUAUAAGCGUGAAACUUCCCCCGAGAUCAGAUUUCCCGCGAAAGCGAAGACUCCUGGUAGACCACCAGGUCGAUAGGCCGGGCGUGUAAGUGGGGCAACCCACUCAGCUAACCGGUACUAACAGUCGAGCGCUUGGCCGC
rnacentral:rRNA from 1 species